UAUUGGAUUUUUGGUUUGUUAAUGUAGAUUCACGGUUGUCAAUCGGGGCACUUUCGCGCCUGAUCGCGGGGUGGAAAGUAAAUGCUGCUGCAAUAAAUUGCAACAACCAGAAAGGGUUAAUACUGCCAACACCCAAAGGUGUUGGCCGGGGGUGAUAAUGGCGGGCCUUGCGGCCGCACCCAAAUCAGUAAUGAUCCUUCCGCAGGUUCACCUACGGAAA
rnacentral:misc_RNA from 1 species